rnacentral:rRNA from 1 species
GAUGAACGCUGGCGGCGUGCCUAAUACAUGCAAGUCGAGCGAACGGACGAGAAGCUUGCUUUUCUGAUGUUAGCGGCGGACGGGUGAGUAACACGUGGAUAACCUACCUAUAAGACUGGGAUAACUUCGGGAAACCGGAGCUAAUACCGGAUAAUAUUUUGAACCGCAUGGUUCAAAAGUGAAAGACGGUCUUGCUGUCACUUAUAGAUGGAUCCGCGCUGCAUUAGCUAGUUGGUAAGGUAACGGCUUACCAAGGCAACGAUGCAUAGCCGACCUGAGAGGGUGAUCGGCCACACUGGAACUGGGACACGGUCCCGACCCCUACGGGAGGCAGCAGUAGGGAAUCUUCCGCAAUGGGCGAAAGCCUGACGGAGCAACGCCGCGUGAGUGAUGAAGGUCUUCGGAUCGUAAAACUCUGUUAUUAGGGAAGAACAUAUGUGUAAGUAACUGUGCACAUCUUGACGGUACCUAAUCAGAAAGCCACGGCUAACUACGUG